AAUGGGGGAAACCCUGAUCUAGCCAUGCCGCGUGAUCGAUGAAGGCCUUAGGGUUGUAAAGAUCUUUCAGUGGGGAAGAUAAUGACUGUACCCACAGAAGAAGCCCCGGCUAACUCCGUGCCAGCAGCCGCGGUAAUACGGAGGGGGCUAGCGUUGUUCGGAAUUACUGGGCGUAAAGCGCACGUAGGCGGAACAGAAAGUCAGAGGUGAAAUCCCAGGGCUCAACCUUGGAACUGCCUUUGAAACUCCUGUUCUUGAGGUCGAGAGAGGUGAGUGGAAUUCCGAGUGUAGAGGUGAAAUUCGUAGAUAUUCGGAGGAACACCAGUGGCGAAGGCGGCUCACUGGCUCGAUACUGACGCUGAGGUGCGAAAGCGUGGGGAGCAAA
rnacentral:rRNA from 1 species